GACGUAGGAGGCGAGCGUUGUCCGGAUUCAUUGGGCGUAAAGAGCACGCAGGCGGUUUGGCAAGUCGGAUGUGAAAACCCGGAGCUCAACUCCGGACCUGCAUCCCGAAACUGCCCGACUAGAGGUAGGUAGGGGAGAUCGGAAUUCCGAGUGUAGAGGUGAAAUUCGUAGAUAUUCGGAAGAACACCAGUGGCGAAGGCGACUUACUGGACACAUAUUGACGCUGAGGUGCGAAAGCGUGGGGA
rnacentral:rRNA from 1 species